rnacentral:tRNA from 1 species
GCGCCUGUGGCUCAAAGGAGUAGGGCGCUGGCCCCAUAUGCCAGAGGUGGCGGGUUCAAACCCAGCCACGGCCA